rnacentral:rRNA from 1 species
UGCAGUCGAACGGCAGCACGGGGGCAACCCUGGUGGCGAGUGGCGAACGGGUGAGUAAUACAUCGGAACGUGUCCUGUAGUGGGGGAUAGCCCGGCGAAAGCCGGAUUAAUACCGCAUACGCUCUACGGAGGAAAGGGGGGGAUCUUAGGACCUCCCGCUACAGGGGCGGCCGAUGGCAGAUUAGCUAGUUGGUGGGGUAAAGGCCUACCAAGGCGACGAUCUGUAGCUGGUCUGAGAGGACGACCAGCCACACUGGGACUGAGACACGGCCCAGACUCCUACGGGAGGCAGCAGUGGGGAAUUUUGGACAAUGGGGGCAACCCUGAUCCAGCAAUGCCGCGUGUGUGAAGAAGGCCUUCGGGUUGUAAAGCACUUUUGUCCGGAAAGAAAACGCCGUGGUUAAUACCCGUGGCGGAUGACGGUACCGGAAGAAUAAGCACCGGCUAACUACCUGCCAGCACCCGCGGUAAUACGUAGGGUGCAAGCGUUAAUCGGAAUUACUGGGCGUAAAGCGUGCGCAGGCGGUCCGCUAAGACAGAUGUGAAAUCCCCGGGCUUAACCUGGGAACUGCAUUUGUGACUGGCGGGCUAGAGUAU